rnacentral:rRNA from 1 species
CGCUGGCGGCGUGCUUAACACAUGCAAGUCGAGCGGUAAGGCCUUUCGGGGUACACGAGCGGCGAACGGGUGAGUAACACGUGGGUGAUCUGCCCUGCACUUCGGGAUAAGCCUGGGAAACUGGGUCUAAUACCGGAUAUGACCUCAGGUUGCAUGACUUGGGGUGGAAAGAUUUAUCGGUGCAGGAUGGGCCCGCGGCCUAUCAGCUUGUUGGUGGGGUAAUGGCCUACCAAGGCGACGACGGGUAGCCGACCUGAGAGGGUGACCGGCCACACUGGGACUGAGACACGGCCCAGACUCCUACGGGAGGCAGCAGUGGGGAAUAUUGCACAAUGGGCGAAAGCCUGAUGCAGCGACGCCGCGUGAGGGAUGACGGCCUUCGGGUUGUAAACCUCUUUCAGCAGGGACGAAGCGCAAGUGACGGUACCUGCAGAAGAAGCACCGGCUAACUACGUGCCAGCAGCCGCGGUAAUACGUAGGGUGCAAGCGUUGUCCGGAAUUACUGGGCGUAAAGAGUUCGUAGGCGGUUUGUCGCGUCGUUUGUGAAAACCAGCAGCUCAACUGCUGGCUUGCAGGCGAUACGGGCAGACUUGAGUACUGCAGGGGAGACUGGAAUUCCUGGU